rnacentral:lncRNA from 1 species
GUGAAGAAGGCGAACAUUCUGGUGAUCAUGCACCGGCGGGCACCGGAUUACCAUCCCACCAUGUCCAUUUUCCUUCAUCGGCCAAUCACAGCCCUCCACGUCACCAUGGGUAUCAAUUCCCAAACUCAUCGCAUUUGUACGCCCCACCUCCGGUCUAUGCGGUGAGCUAUAAUACGGCGCACCCCAGCGCAAGUUACAAUGCAUCCUACUAUGCCUCGCCGUACUCUUACGCCUACGUGCCCCAUCCCGGGAAUGAACCUCCACCGUCGGAUUUUGAUUCGCACCCACCUCAACCGUCGGAUUCGUUUGAGAUAUUUAGCGAUGAAAACCCAAAUGCUUGCUCGGUUAUGUGACAAAAGGAUGGAUGGGAGCUUAUACUUUAAUUUGUAUAAGUUGAUUUUGAGGGAGGGAGG